UACGGAGGGGGCUAGCGUUGUUCGGAAUUACUGGGCGUAAAGCGCACGUAGGCGGCCUUGUAAGUUAGAGGUGAAAGCCCAGGGCUCAACCCCUGGAAUUGCCUUUAAGACUGCAUCGCUAGAAUUGUGGAGAGGUAAGUGGAAUUCCGAGUGUAGAGGUGAAAUUCGUAGAUAUUCGGAAGAACACCAGUGGCGAAGGCGACUUACUGGACACAUAUUGACGCUGAGGUGCGAAAGCGUGGGGGAGCAAACAGG
rnacentral:rRNA from 1 species